UCUAGAAUGGCGGACGAAACGCAUAAAAUUUAAGAUUUUAGCAUGAUCUUUUAAAAGAUCUUCUAGAA